AAUUAGAAGUAAUAACCUAUAAUUACCUAAUGAUUGUCUUAAUAUAUAGCCUAGGUGUGUGGCCUCAACCAUAACAUUAUUUCCAAAUGGAAAAAAACCCUACAGUCUAUUAAAAAAACACAGUAUUUGCCCGGUGUUCAUUGAAAAAAUCCUCAAAUUCAGAGCCCACAGAGAUGCCAGAUGUGAGGCACGCACAGGAGAUGACAGAGAGGGAUUGCCUGGCAUCACAUGACUUUUCUGAGAAUGUGCAAUGCAAAGGAAGAACAAAUGCAGACAAACAGUGAGAGCAGCGAGGAAGACGUACACGAGAUACCCAGGAGCUGUAGAGCGAUUUCAUGCCCCCAUAAACACUGCAGCACAAAUAGAAGUAUAGAGAGAGAGGGAUGGGGGAGGAGGGCAGACAAAGGUAAGUGGAACAAAACUAAGCAAAUCUAACUAAAAAUGCAGGCAGUGUUAGAGAUUAGAACAGCUGCCUUCAAAUUUGUGCCAAAAGGCAUGUGCCACAUUACUUUAGCCCAAAAUGUUCCUGAUAUACUGCUUCCUCACUCUGACUGAGCUGGCUGAUAACAAACUGCUUAUGUGUCCAGCAGCUGGAACCGUUGCAGACUUUACUGCUAAGUCAGAGCUCCGGCCCCAUUCAGCUUGAUCCACUGGCCUCCACUGACAUCCAUAUCACCAGAGCUGACCCCAGGGCAGGUUAAAGACAGGUGUGUAAACACUGAAGGUGCAGUGAAAAGAGAUAAGCCUCCGCUGAUAGUGUGCAAGGCAAUGGACUCUUAAAACAGAUAACAGGCAUGUGCCGAUGACCUCACCACAUGUAGAAUAUCUGAUUGGCCUGUUAUUUAGAACACACUGUAUUGAUAAGAGGUGUUG